rnacentral:rRNA from 1 species
CACGUAGGGUGCGAGCGUUGUCCGGAAUUAUUGGGCGUAAAGAGCUCGUAGGCGGUGUGUCGCGUCGGCCGUGAAAACCUGCAGCUUAACUGUGGGCGUGCGGUCGAUACGGGCAUCACUGGAGUUCGGCAGGGGAGACUGGAAUUCCUGGUGUAGCGGUGAAAUGCGCAGAUAUCAGGAGGAGCACCGGUGGCGAAGGCGGGUCUCUGGGCCGAUACUGACGCUGAGGAGCGAAAGCGUGGGGAGCGAACAGG